AGCGAACGCUGGCGGUAGGCCUAACACAUGCAAGUCGAACGGCAACACAGUAAGAGCUUGCUCUUACGGGUGGCGAGUGGCGGACGGGUGAGGAAUACAUCGGAAUCUACUUUUUCGUGGGGGAUAACGUAGGGAAACUUACGCUAAUACCGCAUACGACCUACGGGUGAAAGCAGGGGAUCUUCGGACCUUGCGCGAUUGAAUGAGCCGAUGUCGGAUUAGCUAGUUGGCGGGGUAAAGGCCCACCAAGGCGACGAUCCGUAGCUGGUCCGAGAGGAUGAUCAGCCACACUGGAACUGAGACACGGUCCAGACUCCUACGGGAGGCAGCAGUGGGGAAUAUUGGACAAUGGGCGCAAGCCUGAUCCAGCCAUACCGCGUGGGUGAAGAAGGCCUUCGGGUUGUAAAGCCCUUUUGUUGGGAAAGAAAAGCAGCAGGUUAAUACCCCGCUGUUCUGACGGUACCCAAAGAAUAAGCACCGGCUAACUUCGUG
rnacentral:rRNA from 1 species